GCGCCCGUAGCUCAAUUGGAUAGAGCGUCUGACUACGGAUCAGGAGGUUGGGGGUUCGAGUCCCUCCGGGCGUGCCA
rnacentral:tRNA from 1 species